GUUCGUUGCGUCUCUGUAGCGCGUUGGAUUUCUAAUCCAAUGGUCGUGGGUUAGAAUCCCACCUGGGAUA